AUUUAUUUCAAGUAUUAUAGAGCUUCAAAGCCUUUCUUAAAUUGAUGCGGUUGUGGUCUGAUUCCAUCUAGGCGGGGCCUAGGCGCCUAGCCAAAUUGAGGCAAUAGAAGACCACCUAGCGCCUAGGCGCUAAGCGAACCUAGGCAGAGUAUGAUUUUGAAGUCUUGACAGUUUUAUGGUGUUAGUAUCUGUGGAUCUAUUUCUUAACACUGUGUUUGAUCUUAGAAACAGUUAGAGGAAGGACAAGAAAAUGAAAAUAUUAGAUAACAAAAUAUGCGGUGUAAACCUUUUACAUAGUUGCAGUUUUUUUUUCACCUUCUGCCUUGUUUUUCAUAAUUUCCAUUACUCUUCUCAAUAUCCAAAUCAAACAUAUAGCUCUAUUUGGUUUUUGGAUAUAUUGAAGACAAAGAUUAGAACAAAUUUAUUUGACUUGUUUGUUUGCAAUGGUAGUUGGGAGAAAAAAGUAUAUUUAGAAAAGAAAUUUUGAAAUUUAAGUACCAAUUUCUUUUUCAUUUUCAUAAAUAUUGGCAAAAUUUCAUCAACUUUUAGUUACAUACUCUCUCUGUCCCAGAAUAGUUGUUAUACUCCAUCCGUCAUCGUAUAUGUGGCCACUUGAAAUGCACAUAAUUUUAAAAGAGAGUUUAAAUAUUGAAUUCCAUUGUCCUUGCCUUUAGUAUAUGGUGGGGUUUAUAAGCUUUCAUUUUUAAAUUCGCAUGAGGGUAAAUGUUCUAGAAAUAAAGGAUAAUGUGAAAGCUGUACAAAUGUUCAUGAGUAUGUAGAUAUGACCUUUAAUGGAUUAUGAAUUGAAAUAUGUGGGUAGGAGUGAAGUGGCAUUGUAAUUUUAAACUUACAAACUUGUGAUGUGGAGUAGCAGAACCUAAAAAACAGGGUGAAGAUGGUGGUGCUCUUCUAAACUUACUAAAAAGUUAUAUUGUUUCUGCAAUUAGUACAAAUUUAAAACUUUAGUGGUGUUGUUUGUUAUUGUCGAUAUUAAACUAGUUACUACUUAUGGUAAAAAAGAAAAGAAAAGAAAAGAGAGUUGUUUCCUUUGAUGAAUCUGUAGCUAUUUUUUUAAAACUCAACUUGGGUUUCAUUGAUGCCAAAUAUUCAUCUCAACUCAACUAUGCCUUCUAUCCCAAACUAGUUUAGGUAUCCUGAAAAUAAUUCCAUAUGUAGAAACAAAAG
rnacentral:lncRNA from 1 species